CAUUUAUGCCUAAAACGCCUGCUAAAAUCCUAUGCUAUUCUAGGAAAAAGAACCUCAUUUCCUGAGGUUUUUCUGAGAAAAUAGUAAGAAUUGUCAACGUCUACAUAAACCUUAAUAUCUAAGCCUCUGGAGCACCUAGAAACAUGAAAUAAAAAGCAUUUUAAAGGUAAGAACUACAGGUUUUAUUAAAACAUGCUCCCUGAGCACAACCAUAACAGCAACAUUUUAAAAACAUUCUCAAAACAAGAUUAAGAAGAAAAAACAGUAUAAAUCGAUGAUAUAAAAUACAACAAAUAACAUUUUAACCAAAGCAUUGUAAAGGCACACCCCUGACCUGCAGAUCCAGCAACAACUUCACGCUGGUGUAAAAGUUGUCCAUGUAAACACACAAGUUUGACCCAAAAUACGGUUUAGCCAGGUAUGACACAAUCCGGUAAGCCAGGCCUGUCUCGGUCUUGCCUGCAAUGGCCCCUGUGUAAACUUGAAAAUUGUUUACAUAGCCUGUAUUGCUCUCUGCCAUGACCCACACCUUUAUCCCCCACUUCACCGGCUUCAUGGGGAGGUACUGCCGGAAGGCAAGGCAUCCCUUGUAUUUUACCAUGGACUCAUCCACGCUCACAAACCCAUUGACCUCAUAGAGGGCCUGGAACUGAUGCAAGAGGAGGUCCAUGAACCGCUGGAUCUUCCACAGUUUAUCGGAUUUAUCCAAGGCAGGGUCCAAGUUAUCUUCUAGAUGGAGAUAUCUGAAAAUGCAUAUAUGACAAAGAAUUUGAGCCUGACAUUUAUUUCCAUCAUUGUGAUUAUUUGUAUUAUGUUAUUUAUAGUAUUUAUAUUCAUAAUUGUAUUACUAUUUAUUCAUUAUUCCAUUAUUGUAUUUAUAACUAACAUCAUUGUAUUUAUUCAAUAUCAACCAUCAUCACCAUUAGUAAUUGCUAUAGCACCACUAUCAUUACUGGCCAUUCCGUUUUCUAAGAGAAGAGAAUGGAACUCGGAAGAGAGCACAAGAAAAGAAACCAUAAAUAUUUACCUCCAGAUCAUGUCGAAACGGUCCCUUGACAUUUGUUUGGUAGAGCCACUUAGUUUGCCUCCAGUAAUCAGUAGUUUGCUUUAAAAUUCCAAAGCAAAGACACAGCCCGAGGAAUGUUUUCAUUUCUGUUUUCGGGACCGGGGUCCACUUGAGGUCGUGGGGGUCUGAGCUCGUACCUGUUGCGCGUACCGAUUCGUUUCGGUCAAUAACGUUGGAUCAACCGGCACAAAAUCAUUCUCGUCCUCAUUCUCAUACUCAAAUCCCUUGAAUUCUAUGACAAUAUCACUGCCAUCGCUAUCAAAAUCCUCCAUGUUCAUUGCUACUUCUCGGUCGCCAGCUAGACG